rnacentral:rRNA from 1 species
UGGCGGAGCGAUUUGUCUGGUUAAUUCCGAUAACGAACGAGACUCUGGCCUAUUAAAUAGUUCGCCGAUUCCGAUCUGUCGGCGUUAACUUCUUAGAGGGACAAGUGGCUUUUAGCCACGCGAGAUUGAGCAAUAACA